CGGGGUGUAGCGCAGUUGGCAGCGCGCAGCGUUCGGGACGCUGAGGCCGUGAGUUCAAGUCUCACCACCCCGA
rnacentral:tRNA from 1 species